UUUUAUUUAUAUUUUUCUGGUAUUUAUUAUUCAAAUGUAUGUUAUCGUCUUAAUGUUAUCUCAUGCAUUUGACCACAAACCAUUCGCUAAAUAAGAUUCAAAAGGUUAAGAACAUCGAUCGAUCUGCGUUUGGAUAAAAAUCGAACAUAGAACUAAUUAACUUCUAUAUUAUUCUCAUAAAAUAAUAAUUCACUGCGCAAAAAAGGCGUAUUGCGAUUGCGAUGUACGAAUGCGUGUCAUCAUUAUUAUCUCCACGUGG